GAACGAGAAAGGGGAGCAAUCCCUGAGUACAGUGGCGACCGGGUGAGUAACACGUGACCAACCUGCCUUCGAGUGGGGGAUAACUCCGGGAAACCGGGGCUAAUACCGCAUAACAUCUUCGGACCGCAAGGCCUGAAGAUCAAAGCAGCAAUGCGCUUGUCGAGGGGGUCGCGGCUGAUUAGCUAGUUGGCGGGGUAACGGCCCACCAAGGCGAAGAUCGGUAUCCGGCCUGAGAGGGCGCACGGACACACUGGAACUGAAACACGGUCCAGACUCCUACGGGAGGCAGCAGUGGGGAAUUUUGCGCAAUGGGGGAAACCCUGACGCAGCAACGCCGCGUGGAGGAUGAAGUCCCUUGGGACGUAAACUCCUUUCGACCCGGACGAUUAUGACGGUACGGGUGGAAGAAGCCCCGGCUAACUUCGUG
rnacentral:rRNA from 1 species